rnacentral:rRNA from 1 species
UGGGGAAUAUUGGACAAUGGGCGCAAGCCUGAUCCAGCCAUGCCGCGUGUGUGAAGAAGGCCUUAUGGUUGUAAAGCACUUUAAGCGAGGAGGAGGCUACUUUAGUUAAUACCUAGAGAUAGUGGACGUUACUCGCAGAAUAAGCACCGGCUAACUCUGUGCCAGCAGCCGCGGUAAUACAGAGGGUGCGAGCGUUAAUCGGAAUUACUGGGCGUAAAGCGCGCGUAGGUGGUUCGUUAAGUUGAAUGUGAAAGCCCCGGGCUCAACCUGGGAACUGCAUCCAAAACUGGCGAGCUAGAGUAGGGCAGAGGGUGGUGGAAUUUCCUGUGUAGCGGUGAAAUGCGUAGAUAUAGGAAGGAACACCAGUGGCGAAGGCGACCACCUGGGCUCAUACUGACACUGAGGUGCGAAAGCGUGGGGAGCAAACAGG